UGAGGAAUAUUGGUCAAUGGGCGGAAGCCUGAACCAGCCAAGUCGCGUGAGGGAAUAAGGCCCUACGGGUCGUAAACUCUUUUGCCGGGGAGCAAGGGGCGGGGACGUGUCCCGGCCCGGAGAGUACCCGGAGAAAAAGCAUCGGCUAACUCCGUGCC
rnacentral:rRNA from 1 species